AAAAUCAUUAGUUGCCCUAGAUUGACUGAACCUCUGUUCCCAAAAUCAAUCACAGCUUCAUCCUUGUGGCCUUUGUCUUCGGAAAGAUCGACUAAGUUCGUGAGAAUGAGCUAUGUAUGAUCCACCCAUACUGCCAUCCGAAGGGGUCCUGGGUGUAACUUAACGAUUUCUUGCUCAUUGUUGAUUUGGAUACGAAGUCUGAAGUGGUAUUCCAUCAGAGGUCUCUUCGCCGGCAAAUUCGUCGGGAUCUGUAAACAGAAAGAAUGUGCGAUCAGGUGGUAAUAAUUGAAUAGCAAGAUUGGUGGCGGUUGUGGUGGUUUCCUGGUGGAAUUGAUGGAGAAGUUUCUGUAACUACUCAUCAUCACUGCUCUCUCACCUUAACAUUAAGUUUCUCUCUCUAUCUUUAUAAUUUUGCUUCUGGGUUGUCUUCUAUGGUAAAAACGGAAGCAAAAUUGGAGUGUUCAAACAACAAGUAACUCUGUGUUUGCCUGAAUUGAGAAAACUGGUCGACAUUUACUAAUGUUCGGUCGACAGAAUUGAGAAAACCGGUCGACAUCUACUAAAUUUACGUCGACCGAAUUGAUUGAACCGUUCCUUCUCAUUUAAGUUUUCUAUUUUUUCUUCAUCUGUUCUCUAUUUCUCUCUCUCUCUCUAUGGCGACUUAGGGCUUCUCUCCUUCCAUUCGCUCUCAAUUCAAUUCAGGUAAGUGUGUAUGCGAACCACCAUUUUAAAAGUUCAAUUUCUAUUCUAUUA